rnacentral:rRNA from 1 species
AACGUAGGAGGCGAGCGUUAUCCGGAUUCACUGGGCGUAAAGCGCGUGUAGGUGGUCCGUUAAGUUGCUGGUGAAAGCCCCUGGCUCAACUGGGGGAGGUCUAGCAAAACUGGCGGACUUGAGGGUCCGAGAGGAAGGUGGAAUUCCCGGUGUAGCGGUGGAAUGCGUAGAUAUCGGGAGGAACACCAGUGGCGAAGGCGGCCUUCUGGCGGGCAUCUGACACUGAUACGCGAAAGCGUGGGGAGCAAACGGG